rnacentral:rRNA from 1 species
UAAUACAGAGGGUGCUAGCGUUAAUCGGAAUUACUGGGCGUAAAGGGCGCGUAGGCGGUGAGAUGUGAGUGAUGUGAAAGCCCUGGGCUUAACCUAGGAAGCGCAUCGCUAACUAUCUGACUGGAGUAUAUGAGAGGGUGGCGGAAUUUCCGGUGUAGCGGUGAAAUGCGUAGAGAUCGGAAGGAACGUCGAUGGCGAAGGCAGCCACCUGGCAUAAUACUGACGCUGAGGCGCGAAAGCGUGGGGAGCGAACAGGAUUAGAUACCCUGGUAGUCCACGCUGUAAACGAUGAGAACUAGAUGUUGGUUGGGGAACCAAUCGGUAUCGAAGCUAACGCGAUAAGUUCUCCGCCUGGGAAGUACGGCCGCAAGGUUG